rnacentral:piRNA from 1 species
UAUGGCAAGAGACAGAUUCUCUGGUGAUG